rnacentral:rRNA from 1 species
AUGGCGGCAAAGAAACAUCUUUUUCGCUUUGGGUCUUUCGCAAUAAAGGACGGGCCAGAGGUUCGUUUCUCGGAUAACACAUGGCUAGGCAAUGCCAGUCUCCGAGAGCAAUACCCAGCCUUAUACGCCAUUGCUCACGAUAAGAGUAAUACUAUUGUGCAAGUGCUUAGUUCAUCCCGGCCGAAUAUUUCGUUCAGGCGGAAUUUGGUUGGCCCCCGACUUUUGUCAUGGCAUAAUCCUUUAUCCUGUCUGCAUUCGAUUAAUCUGACACAAGGCUGGGAUGUGUUUCACUGGAAAAUCACAACAUCAGGGUCUUACACAGUAGACUCGAUGUACUGUGUGCUUAUGCAUUCCGAGGUGCCAGUGAAUAAUAACAAGAAAAUUUGGAACUCAAAGAUUCCGCUAAAAGUUAAAAUCUUUAUGUGGUAUCUUCAUAGGGGAGUUGUGCUAGCCAAAGACAAUCUUGCACGGCGCAACUGGCCAGGAAGUAGAAGUGUUGCUUUUGUGCUCAUGACGAGACAAUGA